GUAGGUGGCAAGCGUUGUCCGGAAUUAUUGGGCGUAAAGCGCGCGCAGGCGGUCCUUUAAGUCUGAUGUGAAAGCCCACGGGCUCAACCGUGGAGGGUCAUUGGAAACUGGGGGACUUGAGUACAGAAGAGGAAAGCGGAAUUCCACGUGUAGCGGUGAAAUGCGUAGAGACGUGGAGGAACACCAGUGGCGAAGGCGGCUUUCUGGUCUGUAACUGACGCUGAGGCGCGAAAGCGUGGGGAGCAAACAGGAUUAGAUACCCUGGUAGUCCACGCCGUAAACGAUGAGUGCUAAGUGUUAGGGGGUUUCCGCCCCUUAGUGCUGCAGCUAACGCAUUAAGCACUCCGCCUGGGGAGUACGGCCGCAAAGGCUGA
rnacentral:rRNA from 1 species